GAAGUCAAGGAGACUCUCUAGAAUGAGUGUUGGGUAUUCUGAUCGGUGCUCCCAUUCAUGUCUAGGCUCUAAUUUAUAUGGGGUAAACAGCAGUCAUCUUGAGCCAGAUUUAAAUGGGAUGCUCACCACGUAUUUCAACUGACAGGACGGACGUUAGAUAGCAGAAUGAGAAGAUAAACAUGUGCAUCAUUUACAUAAGAAAUGCCCAGGAGCCAGUUCAAGGAUUCUUGAAGCCCUCGCUUUGAGAUGAAAUUGGCCCACCGAUAGGCCCCAUCUGUGGCUUCAAACUAGCCUUUGGUUUCCCAUCAUGCCCAUUAAGCCUACUCAGGCCGGUUAACCCUCCCCUUCCCACCUGGGCGGGAUGCACAACUCCAGCCAAAGACAAACCUCACUCCGCCCCUCAGCCGUAAAACACGGUCUCAGCUGGGACAGUCAGACCGUUCAGCCCGUGAAAGUCGUCACUGUCAACCCGAUCUCCAAUGCAAAGACUUAACCCCUCUUCUUCGGCAGGCUCAGGGCGGGGAGCCACUCAUUUUGGAGAAGGGAAUGUGGUCAUGUUUGUGGUCAACUGCAUCCUUGUUCUCUUCCUCUCCAGCUCUUGGGUUCUACUGCAGACCUUCCCAGAGACCCCACUGCUCACUGCCUGCUGAGACGGCCUCUUAGGCAGGAUUUAAAAUGCUGCGGAUCAGCCCUCCUGUCACCUCCCCUUCCCGUGUCCACUGGAAAUACUGAUUUAUCUUUCACCCUGUAACUCAGAAUGCAGACUGUCACCAUCUCUGCAGAAUUCACCGUCAAAGCAAGACUCUGGCCCCAGUCUGUGACAGCCCAGACUCCAGGGAGAACUGGCUGUGCUACCGAUGGGAACCAGGCCCUGAGAACCCCUUGCCACGAACCAGGAGCUCCCAGGGAAAAACCAAUGAAGAGACAUAAGCAGCACCUGAGAGCUACCAUUAAAAAUAGGGACUACA